rnacentral:lncRNA from 1 species
UGGAUUUUUAAACCUAGGUCCCAUAUAGAAGGCUCAAGGAGCAGGGGCAUAUUCUCUAGGAAGCCCUACUUCUGAUCCUCUUACCUGCUGGUAUUCUUAGAAGCGUGAUCACUUUUUACUUUAUAUGACUCAAAUUAAGUGGCAGGACAGAGGUGAGAAAGAGGCAAGCCUACUACCCACCUGAACAAAAGCUCCAAAGAAGUUCUCGACACCACUCAGGGAAAGUUGGAGAAAUAACUCAAGAUACUUAUUGGAAUGAAGCACUCUUAACAGAUAGAAGACCCCCAAGAAGCCUGGAGUGGUUUGGCCAAAAACAAACAAACAAAAAAAAGUCUCAAGCUUGCUGCUCGAUGGGGCUUUGCCAAACCAACAUAGCUCUAAUUGCAUCUUUCCACCCCCUUCUCUCCCUGCCUCUCCCUUCUUCCCAAUCGUCCUUUGUGUGUACUGAAAAAAAAAUAUUUUUAUAAUACA